ACGGUUCUUGUUUUAUUCAUUCGCAUUUAUUUUUUCGUCCUCUGCCUUUUGAGACUUACUGUACGUGUAGCGGUACGCGCACGCGCACUGAGGCCUUAUUGGCGAAACAUGUGGUGCGUUCGGAAACACGAUAUUUCAAUACGUCCUCAGAAUAAUACCGAACCCGAGGAGACCUUGAACCUACGUAAUAGCAAAUUCUAAAGUUAUAUUAUCCGUGCCGAGAGGCGAGAAACCCUUUUGCGAUAUAAAAUAUCGUUAAGACAACACGCGAUAUUGGGUUACCCGAAAUUCUAGCACGGUUAGAAAGCAAGCGUUGCAAGUAUACGCGUAUUUAACACGGGAAUAGCCUAUAAGGCACUAUGACCAAGUAAACGCAGCAGUAACGUAAAAAACAAACCGAGCCAAUUAAUAUAAAGUACGCAUAACACACAGUACGCUACCACCAAUUAAUUUCUCAAUUGCGAUGACGAUACUGCCUGACGCCAUGUUCGUCCCCAUGAAUUUUCAAACCCUAAGCGUGAUCGUGUAGAAUUGAAAAAAAAAAGUCUAUAAAAAGAUACAUGCACUAUAUUCAAUAACGAAACAUCAAACUAGAGAGUUAUACGUGUAACAGACUAUAAAACCACGGAGCACUUCCGUUUCCGGAUCACCUUGAGAAGCAGGACCACGUCGUACUGUCGUUCUCCCCCUCCACUCCAUCCCCUUCCCAUCCCUUUUACUUUCCUUAUUUUCCCUCUCGCCCUUGAGGCUGCAGUCUGAGUACGUCGUUUGGUCGAAGAGACUCGAGCAUUGUCCACGGCUUCUUUUUCUUCGACGAGAAGGAUGAAGCAUCACCCGUUAAAGUGCCUUCCACGUAACUCCACCCUAUACACGGUUCGAAGUAAUCAACGCAAAAUGUCUCGAUGCCACUACUGACCGCGAUCGUUUGCCGUUUCGUAAGCGUUCGGCUAAUACGAUUGCACGGAAAGUGAAUCAUCGGUCAAUAGUGAUUGAAUGCUAAGGGCUUUAGCGGCUAUUUACAUUUUACACGGGUCAUCCCAGUGAUUUACGAGUUUCGAGAUACGUGGGAGCUGCGUCGCUUGAAAGGAGGCUCGAGCAUUUCGAUUUUUCAAUCGAAAUAAAUUCUGCGCGUCGUCGUACGUGGCAAUUGAAGAUACCGCUUGAACGUAUGACAAUCAAAGUGAGCGAUAGUUUCCAGUUAAAUUAAUUACAUGAAAAUCUUCACGAUUCUACACGUUCGACGUACGAGCCCGUCCUUCGUUACUGCAACGCCGCCAGUAACUUAAACGACCCCGCGACCAAUCUUGUCGCGCAUGGAAAACUCGAUAGACGAUUUUCACGAUCCAACUAUUCCGAGACUGGCUGUUAAUUCAUCCCGAGGACGAGAAAAAGGAGUUAAGGCGAACGUUCACGGAGAUCACUGCUUUCGUCGGAGUUCGACGAAUAUUUUUUACGUGUUAGAAAUCUUUUUGACAUAUCAUUCCGUACCGCGCAAAUGAUUUCACGUUGGUUAAUUUAUACGCGAAUUCAAUUAUACGGUAGACAUUACGUUUACUGGUACAGUGGCACAGGAGCAUAGGUCCGAUAAAAAAAAAAAAGCAUGUUUUACGCAGGGAGGCACAAGACGAAAGAAAUCGAAGAGAAAUUUUCAUCCUAAUCACGAAUUACUUUGUUUGAAUUAAAUUUCGACGUCAUCGCGAGAACUAUUUAGGAAAAUUCCAGUAACGCGAGAUCUGUGCGUCACACAACAUUUCCUGUCAGAGGAGCAGGUAUCUAUCGUUUGCAUAUGCAAGAGUAGACACUUGCAUUGGAUACAGUAAAUGUACCUACAUAUAUGUUAAUGUAUAUGUACACCUGUACAUUUGAUAGCGACAAACCGCAAGAAAACAUAAACAUCCUUUAUACCUUAUAGCCAAUAUACGUAUAUGCACUGUUAUAGAAAUCAAACUGCGUGAAUAAUUCGUACCUCUCUCCAACACGAUAACUCCAGAGCCGACCGUUCAUACGUGUUUUCACAGGUAAGGCGCUUUUUUUUUUACAGAAUAAGAUUCAAAUUUCCCGCGCAUUGCUAAGUUCUCGGCAUUGAGGUCACGGCGACGUAGAGGAUCGCGCUAAUUGGUCAAAAAGAUUGAACGUACGAUUAAGGCGACCCUAUACCAAGGACCACGAGUUAAUAAAAUUAUUAGAGCCAUACAGCGCGUAUAAUAGACGGCAAUGAUCGUCUCUCACAUAAGUAGCAUAAAUGUGUAAUGACUCACGUAGUGUCAUUGAUCGUGUGGCAAUUUUGAAAUUCUCAAUGAGCCCGAAUUGUAACACACGACGCUCUAAGGCUUGUUUCGAUUAAUGGCUGAUCCCCAUUAACGGACACGAACGAUGCCGAUGGCUUUUGAAAAUGAUAUUUAUUGGUAUGCAUACGUAGACGCGAGUCAGCGAAAGUAUCAUGCAAAUGCGUAGGCGUUUUGUCAAAAAAAAAAAAAAUUCAUUUCAAAGCCAUUGUGUCGAG